AUAUUCCACCGAAAACUCCAAAAUUAAAAAAACAAAUAUAAAACUGAGAAAGCGGGCCGUGACAGGGCCCUGGAGGAGAAUUGGAAUAAUGAGAGGAAGAAGCCCCUGGAAUCAUGGUAGUACGCCUUAUUCCAAUCCGGAAACCGGGACUGACAGCAAACACUUAUCGGCAUGCUUAAAGGCUUAAUCCUGUUCCGGUCCCCAACCGUUAUACCUUUCUUCUGCAAUGAGUCCAUUCCGCGCUUCGCAAAGUGUUUAAUGAUGCGUCUGUAAUAGCCUAUGUGUCCCAAAAAAGAACGCGCUACGCCCGGCCCCCUUUUCAGUAGAUGAUCGUAGGCUGAUUUGACUCCUUCUUCCCGGGAUUCUUCUCGAAAGAGAAUCCCUCUAACACUUCAGUUACUGGUUUAUGAAAAACCUUCGCCGCAUAUCCAGACCACCAAGUGUGAAAAUCCUUAGUCACUAGGCAAGAAAGCUCGCAUAGAAGCUUUAAGAGAUAGGGGGACAUCCACCGAAGAUGGCAGCGGGAAAGACGGAAGCACGAACGAGCUCUGGUACUCAAUCUUGGGUCUUUGGUGUGGGUCGGAUCAUGAUAACUGAAUCCCAACUCCAGGAUAUCAAGUUAUGAACGUACUAGACCUACUAGUUAUUGAAGAUACCAUUCGAGGGUGCCGAUGUCCCAGAUCAGAUGGUUGUGGAUAUGGAUCCACCAAGGUGGUUGAUCUAGGAUACAGACCAAGAGAACCGGGUGAUUGCUCCAAGCUUUUUAGCGCACUUUCAAGUUUCGCAGCUCUUAUUUGCAGCCGAGAGGAGCUCCAUAACCAUCGGCUUCUACCACGGCCAGAGUUUUCUGCAUCCAUGGCUAACAAUCCUUCACAGCUACUCCCCUCAGAGUUGAUCGACCGCUGCAUAGGUUCCAAAAUAUGGGUAAUAAUGAAGGGUGACAAGGAGCUCGUCGGCACUCUUAGGGGAUUCGAUGUUUACGUCAACAUGGUCCUCGAAGACGUCACCGAAUAUGAGAUCACUGCUGAAGGAAGACGGAUAACCAAGCUUGACCAGAUUCUAUUGAACGGAAACAACAUUGCCAUUCUUGUCCCUGGCGGUUCACCUGAAUCUGAGUGAGUAACAAUGGAUGUCUAUGCAGUGAACGAUCUUUCAUCAUGUGGUGGGAGCUGACAGCUUAUAGGUGAUUGACGACAGAGAAACUGGAAAAUAAAAGAAUAUACAAGUUUUGGCUGCUGAUAAUCAGAAUGGGCGUUUAUAACAGCGCUGCAAAGGAUAUUGAUGAUGGUGUUGGUGAUGAGCAUGAGUGACAUUUAUGAUUAGCUUCAAUUAUUUCCGACAAUCAUGAAUAUUUAGAUUGAAGGUCAUUAACCUGGUAAACCAUAUUCAGUUUUUCAUAUUCAGUUCAGCCGGGUUUUAAUGACUGAUGUAGCAAUUUUCUUUUUCCUUUCCCGAGUAAACAACAAGUCUGUUUUAGCAAAUUCUAAAAAUAUGGUUGGUCUGAUUUUUUCUCUUCCUGCUUUGACUUUGACUGUUUGGUCUGAUUUAUUACAAAUGCUUCGUUUAUUUUUGUUUUUGUUGUUUUGUUUUUUUUUUCGUUUCUGUUUUCUUAGGGAAUCCAAGGCGCUUUAUCUUCACAUAUAAAAGGUUGGUCUGAUUGAUUUCUUCUCUCACCAAUAGAUGUUCCUCUUUCAAACAAUUUGACAUUAAAAUAAAUGUUAUAGACUAUAUAGUGGUGAGUAAUAAUAAAAAUGAGAAUAAUGCUAAUAAGUAAAUAAAUAAAUGAAUAGAAAGAGUAAAACGCAUCGUUUAAAUCCCGUAGGAGGCUGAGAAAACAUAUUGUAAGGUACGAAGAACAAUUUGGCAUAUCUGGUAAAAGCCAAGAAAUAAUGAACUUGGAGCUGCUAAAAAAGCUUACUAGAUUCGUCACUAAUACAUUCAUUAUUAUUAAGAAUGAGUGAAAGUCACCAAUAGUCAAACAGAAAAAUAUAUAACAAAUCAUAAAAAAUAAGAAUAAUAAAAAUAACAUAUUAAACACACUCUCAAAAACAAGUUUUCCAUGAGCAGGUUUGGUCUUGCGGCCCAUCUUUAUCGCUCUACAUACCCUCCAACAUUUUAUCUCAAAAAAGAAAAAACAUAAUCCAUCAUAGCCAUUUCCCACCGACCAUGGCCAAGUCACAUCAAAAUUCAAGCACGCCUAAAUUUUUACUAAGAGUAAAGAAACAAAAAAACUAUGUUACUCCGUGAUAACUAGAAAUUUGCUCUACAAAAUCCAUCUUCCCCAAUUUAUCAAAGAAAGAAACACGUAAAAAUUUAGAAAGUAUCAAAUCUUCUGAGAUUAUUUUUUGUUCCAUAUUAAAGAAAUAAAAAUUGGUAAGAAAGGGAAAUAAAAUACUUAAAAAAAAAUUAAAAAAAAAAUCAUGGGCUAGCACCGCGUAGGGCGGGGGUUAAUCGGGUUGGCUAGGACCGGGACGGCAUGGAAGUACAGAAAGGCCGGCGGUUUUAUUAGCGCGCCGCUGGAGCUCCAUCCUCCUGUUUGGGUUGCCAAAUCAGCUUCGGUCUGUGGUUUACACGCGCCCGACGACAAAUGAAGAGCAGAAGAUUUUAGGAGCUCAGACUUUGACAAAAAUAGAAGAUUUUAAAAUUAAAAGAAAAAAAAAUUAAUAAUUUAAAAAUAAAAAAAUGAAGAGACGUUCAGACAAACAGAGCCAAAGGGGCUCAAGGGAUAAAGACGGCGGUGGGUUAGAUAAUAAAUGGUUUCUACUCUACUCUGCAUGUAUUAUUCUUGACUCCUCCAUUUUCGCCGCCAGUGAAUCGUAGCCGAAUUUUCAUCUCCGGCGAAGAGUUCGUUGACAUCGCACCGUACCAUCAUUUGGACCCACGAACGAUGAUAAAAUAGACCAACCCAGAGACAAAAAGGGCCACACCUAUGAUCUAUCUAUCAUUAAUAGUAACAUAUUACGGCCAAUCACCACGGUCGGAUUAUGAUUCAUGAUAUUUGUAUUCAUAAAUUAUUAAUUUAAAAAGGGUCACCUUUAUUC